CUAACCCUUCACCAAAUUUUCAUUUCUUCACCAAAUUGAUCCAUUAGAAGCUUGUUGGAAUCAUGGGAGUUCAAGGAUCAUCAUCCCUAAGCUAGGGCAAGCAAGAGAGCAAAGCAAGAGGGUGCUAGGGUUGAGAAAGAGAGGAGCUCAUGAGAGCUAGAACAUGAGGAGCUUGAGGAUUCAUCAAAUUUCUAACGUAAGAGAUUAGAAUUCAUGAUUCUUGAGUGGCAAGGAGAGGGGAGAUUGUCUAUGUCUCCAUUCCCGAACUCUCCCACUCAAUUUCUUUUUAGACUUUUGAUUAAGCUUUUGUAUGUGAGUGUGAUGUUCUUCAUCAUCACUUUGUAUAUGUUAAUCACAAGCUUGAUUUCAUGAAAAAUAUGUAUGUGUUUGAAUCAUGUUUGAAAAGUUUAUGAAAGUUGCUUAAAAUCCAAGAAAAGGGCAUGAUCAUGAUUUUGUGAGGUAUUUGGAGGUUUGUAAGGGUUGAUUAAUGUUCCUUGAUACCUUAUAUGUUUGAAAUUGCUGUUUAUAAGAAUUUAUAACAUGUAUGAAUGAAUUUUUGAGCUGAUUCAAUGUUAAACCGCCUUAGAAAACUCAAGAACAGAUAUUUUUCUGGUGUAGUUCACUAAGCGACCAGGACGCGAACCUGCUCGCCACAAGCUCGCUACCUGUUCGCCAUGCACCUGUAAUCCUCUGACGUUGUUCGCUGCAGCGAAUUGAGCUUCGCUUAGCGAAUAGUUCGCUACCUGUUCGCUACUGCUUCGCUUAGCGAACAGUACUGAA
rnacentral:lncRNA from 1 species